AGUUGCGAACGGGUGAGUAACGCGUAGGUAACCUGCCUCUUAGCGGGGGAUAACUAUUGGAAACGAUAGCUAAUACCGCAUAAAAGUCGACAUUGCAUGAUGUUGACUUGAAAGGUGCAACUGCAUCACUAAGAGAUGGACCUGCGUUGUAUUAGCUAGUUGGUGAGGUAACGGCUCACCAAGGCGACGAUACAUAGCCGACCUGAGAGGGUGAUCGGCCACACUGGGACUGAGACACGGCCCAGACUCCUACGGGAGGCAGCAGUAGGGAAUCUUCGGCAAUGGACGGAAGUCUGACCGAGCAACGCCGCGUGAGUGAAGAAGGUUUUCGGAUCGUAAAGCUCUGUUGUAAGAGAAGAACGAGUGUGAGAGUGGAAAGUUCACACUGUGACGGUAACUUACCAGAAAGGGACGGCUAACUACGUGCCAGCAGCCGCGGUAAUACGUAGGUCCCGAGCGUUAUCCGGAUUUAUUGGGCGUAAAGCGAGCGCAGGCGGUUAGAUAAGUCUGAAGUUAAAGGCUGUGGCUUAACCAUAGUACGCUUUGGAAACUGUUUAACUUGAGUGCAGAAGGGGAGAGUGGAAUUCCAUGUGUAGCGGUGAAAUGCGUAGAUAUAUGGAGGAAC
rnacentral:rRNA from 1 species